rnacentral:rRNA from 1 species
UACGUAGGUGGAAAGCGUUGUCCGGAUUUAUUGGGUUUAAAGGGUGCGUAGGCGGUCCUUUAAGUCAGUGCUGAAAUACUCCAGCUUAACUGGAGGGGUGGCAUUGAUACUGGGGGACUUGAAUGAAGUCGAGGUAGGCGGAAUUGACGGUGUAGCGGUGAAAUGCUUAGAUAUCGUCAAGAACACCGAUAGUGAAGACAGCUUACUAGGCUUAUAUUGACGCUGAGGCACGAAAGUGUGGGGAUCAAACAGG